CAGUGUUUAAAAAAAUAGAUAAAUAUUCUGAAAUAUGUUUGGUCAUUGGAUUCGCACUGAAUUUUGUAAUUUAUCUUGUAAUGAGUAGACAAAUCCGAGAUAAAUUACGCAAAGGUUUUCUGAAAUUAUUGCAAUCCUUUAAAUGUUGGUAAACUUUUAAGUAGUAGCUUUAUGCACGGUCAGGCACCAGCUGUUAAUUUUUGAUUGAAUUGAUAAAUGUGAGGAAACUCCAAAAGCAUAAGUUUGCCAGUUGGAUCAUAAAAUUAAAAUCCCCUAUCAUCACCUUUUCCGUGACAGACGCCACAUGUGAAGCGGGAAUUGUAGGUUUUGUAAAAAAAAUUUAAACUCUUUCAAUGUUGGUAAAUGUGAAUAAGUAUAAUAAUAGUCUGGCAUAAACUUUCAUUUUGUAAAGAAUUAAUGAAUGCGAGGAAAC
rnacentral:lncRNA from 1 species